rnacentral:rRNA from 1 species
CCUACGGGAGGCAGCAGUAAGGAAUAUUGGACAAUGGCCGCAAGGCUGAUCCAGCCAUGCCGCGUGCAGGAUGAAGGUGCUCUGCAUUGUAAACUGCUUUUGUUCGGGAAUAAACCCUUUCACGUGUGAAAGGUUGAAUGUACCGAAAGAAUAAGGGACGGCUAACUUCGUGCCAGCAGCCGCGGUAAUACGAAGGUCCCAAGCGUUAUCCGGAUUUAUUGGGUUUAAAGGGUGCGUAGGCGGGUUAUUAAGUCAGUGGUGAAAGCUCCCAGCUCAACUGGGAAACUGCCAUUGAUACUGAUAGUCUUGAGUAUGAUUGAAGUGGGCGGAAUGUGUCAUGUAGCGGUGAAAUGCUUAGAUAUGACACAGAACACCGAUUGCGAAGGCAGCUCACUAAGCCAUAACUGACGCUGAUGCACGAAAGCGUGGGGAGCAAACAGGAUUAGAUACCCUGGUAGUCCACGCCCUAAACGAUGAUCACUCAUGUGUGCGAUAACUAGUACGCGUCCGAACGACGAAAGACGAUUAAGUAGUAGUUACCACCGUCGGGGUUAGGGUUACGGACCGGCCGAGGUUAGGAGGAACGUUAAAGUUAGUUAAGUUAGUUACGGCGUUGGAGGACGUUCGACCGACGGACGACGACGAAGGGGAGGUAGGUAG